rnacentral:rRNA from 1 species
GAUGAACGCUAGCUACAGGCUUAACACAUGCAAGUCGAGGGACCGGCGCACGGGUGAGUAACACGUAUCCAACCUUCCCUUUACUCGGGGAUAGCCUUUCGAAAGAAAGAUUAAUACCCGAUGUAAAGGAUGGGGAUGCGUUCCAUUAGGUUGUUGGUGAGGGAACGGCUCACCAAGCCUUCGAUGGAUAGGGGUUCCGUGAGGAAGGUCCCCGACAAUGGAACGGAGACACGGUCCAAACGCCUACUGGAGGCAGCAGUAGGGAAUAUUGGUCAAUGGGGGCUAGCCUGAACCAGCCAAGUAGCGUGAAGGAUGAAGGAUUAUGGGUCGUAAACUCCUUUUAUAUAAGAAUAUGUAUUAUAUGAAUAAGGAUCGGCUAACUCCGUGCCAGCAGCCGCGGUAAUAC